CAGCCGCGUAAUUCCAGCUCCAAUAGCGUAUAUUAGUGUUGUUGCGGUUAAAAAGCUCGUAGUUGAAUUUCGGGAUUGGGAUAUAUCGGUCAUGCCUUUAGGGGCAUGAAUCGGUGUGUAGCCAAUUUCUCACCUUCUGGUGAAUUGGGAUGCUCUUGGGUGUUUCAAUGAACUAGGACUUUUACUUUGAAAAAAAUAUAGUGUUUAAAGCGGGCAUUUUUGCUUGAAUACAUUAGCAUGGAAUAAUAAAAUAGGACGAUGGUUCUAUUUUGUUGGUUUUAGGACCACGUAAUGAUUAAUAGGGAUAGUUGGGGGCAUUAGUAUUCAAUAGUCAGAGGUGAAAUUCUUGGAUUUAUUGAGGACUAACUACUGCGAAAGCAUUUGCCAAGGAUGUUUUCAUUAAUCAAGAACGAAAGUUAGGGGAUCGAAGACGAUUUAUGUACGUCGUAGUCUUAACCACAAACUAUGCCGACUAGGAAUCAGACAAAGUUCAUUUUUUAACGACUUGUUUGGUACCUUACG
rnacentral:misc_RNA from 1 species